rnacentral:rRNA from 1 species
UACGAGAGGACCGGAGUGGACGCAUCACUGGUGUUCGGGUUGUCAUGCCAAUGGCACUGCCCGGUAGCUAAAUGCGGAAGAGAUAAGUGCUGAAAAGCAUCUAAGCACGAAACUUGCCCCGAGAUGAGUUCUCCCUGAGACUUUAAGUCUCCUGAAGGAACGUUAAAGACGAUGACGUUGAUAGGCCGGGUGUGUAAGCGCAGCGAUGCGUUGAGCUAACCGGUACUAAUGAACCGUGAGGCUUAACCUUAC